AGUGAAUAGAUACCCUGGUAGUCCCAGCUGUAAACGAUGUGCGUUAGGUGUAUCGGUGACCACGAGUCAAACGAGGUGCCGAAGAGAAAUCGUGAAACGUACCGCCUGGGAAGUACGGUCGCAAGGCUGAAACUUAAAGGAAUUGGCGGGGGGAGCACCACGAACGGGUGGAGCCUGUCGGUUUAAUCGGACUCAACGACCGGAAGCUCACCGGAUAAGACAGGCGGAAUGAUAGGCCGGGCUAGAAGACUCUGCUUGACUAGCUGAGAGGAGGUGCAUGGCCGUCGUCAGUUCGUAUUGUGAAGCAUCCU
rnacentral:rRNA from 1 species